rnacentral:rRNA from 1 species
UACGUAGGGGGCAAGCGUUGUCCGGAAUCAUUGGGCGUAAAGAGCGCGUAGGCGGUCCGGUAAGUCAGCUGUGAAAGUCGGGGGCUCAACCCCCGGAGGCCGGUUGAUACUGCCGGGCUAGAGUCCGGAAGAGGCGAGUGGAAUUCCUGGUGUAGCGGUGAAAUGCGCAGAUAUCAGGAGGAACACCGGUGGCGAAGGCGGAUCUCUGGGCCAUUACUGACGCUGAGGAGCGAAAGCGUGGGGAGCGAACAGG